GGGCAGGGUGAUUUGCCUGUGAUUCUCUCUCAACUUGUUUAUCAUUAGGGUUGAAUCUUCUGAUUUGGUUGGCUGAGCAGGUGUCCCUUUCUUCCCUCACCAAUCCAUUAUAGAUGGAUUCAACUGAAAUGUUCUCUCUAGGGCCCUUGAGGUUCUCAAAUGGUCAACUUCCAACACAAUGAUGACCUAGGGAUUCAUCAUGAAGUACCUAGAGAUUCCUAAAGAGAACACCUAUCUAAGAAUGUCUAGGUCCUCAAGUAUGUUUU
rnacentral:snRNA from 1 species